GUCGAGAAUCUUUCACAAUGGGGGCAACCCUGAUGGAGCGACGCCGCGUGGAGGAUAAGGUCUUCGGAUUGUAAACUCCUGUCAUGCGUGAACAAGGUUGCUUGGUUAAUACCUGGGCAAAUUGAUGGUAACGCAAGAGGAAGAGACGGCUAACUCUGUGCCAGCAGCCGCGGUAAUACAGAGGUCUCAAGCGUUGUUCGGAAUCACUGGGCGUAAAGGGUGCGUAGGUGGCGGGGUAAGUCAGAUGUGAAAGCCCGGGGCUCAACCUCGGAACUGCAUCCGAUACGGCCAUGCUAGAGUACUGGAGAGGUGACUAGAAUUCUCGGUGUAGCAGUGAAAUGCGUAGAUAUCGAGAGGAAUACCAAAGGCGUAGGCAGGUCACUGGACAGUUACUGACACUGAGGCACGAAGGCCAGGGGAGCGAACGGGAUUAGAUACCCUUGUAGUCC
rnacentral:rRNA from 1 species